rnacentral:rRNA from 1 species
CAGUAGCCACGGGAAUACGUAGGGCGCAAGCGUUAUCCGGAAUUAUUGGGCGUAAAGAGCUCGUAGGCGGUUUGUCGCGUCUGCCGUGAAAGUCCGGGGCUCAACCCCGGAUCUGCGGUGGGUACGGGCAGACUAGAGUGAUGUAGGGGAGACUGGAAUUCCUGGUGUAGCGGUGAAAUGCGCAGAUAUCAGGAGGAACACCGAUGGCGAAGGCAGGUCUCUGGGCAUUAACUGACGCUGAGGCGCGAAAGCGUGGGGAGCAAACAGGAUUAGAUACCCCUGUAGUCCCUGUCUCUUAUAA